rnacentral:rRNA from 1 species
AUACGUAGGGUGCAAGCGUUAAUCGGAAUUACUGGGCGUAAAGCGUGCGCAGGCGGUUUUGUAAGACAGUGGUGAAAUCCCCGGGCUCAACCUGGGAACUGCCAUUGUGACUGCAAGGCUGGAGCGCGGCAGAGGGGGAUGGAAUUCCGCGUGUAGCAGUGAAAUGCGUAGAUAUGCGGAGGAACACCGAUGGCGAAGGCAAUCCCCUGGGCCUGCACUGACGCUCAUGCACGAAAGCGUGGGGAGCAAACAGGAUUAGAUACCCUGGUAGUCCACGCCCUAAACGAUGUCAACUGGUUGUUGGGGAUUUAUUUUCUCAGUAACGAAGCUAACGCGUGAAGUUGACCGCCUGGGGAGUACGGCCGCAAGGUUAAAACUCAAAUGAAUUGACGGGG